AGAUUGAACGCUGGCGGCAGGCCUAACACAUGCAAGUCGAGCGGCAGCACGGGUACUUGUACCUGGUGGCGAGCGGCGGACGGGUGAGUAAUGCCUAGGAAUCUGCCUGGUAGUGGGGGAUAACGCUCGGAAACGGACGCUAAUACCGCAUACGUCCUACGGGAGAAAGCAGGGGACCUUCGGGCCUUGCGCUAUCAGAUGAGCCUAGGUCGGAUUAGCUAGUUGGUGGGGUAAUGGCUCACCAAGGCGACGAUCCGUAACUGGUCUGAGAGGAUGAUCAGUCACACUGGAACUGAGACACGGUCCAGACUCCUACGGGAGGCAGCAGUGGGAAUAUUGGACAAUGGGCGAAAGCCUGAUCCAGCCAUGCCGCGUGCGUGAAGAAGGUCUUCGGAUUGUAAAGCACUUUAAGUUGGAGGAAGGCAGUUACCUAAUACGUAUCUGUUUUGACGUUUACGACAGAAUAAGCACCGGCUAACUCUGUGCCAGCACG
rnacentral:rRNA from 1 species